AUGAAAGUAAGGUCUUUUUACAGUCAAAUGGGAGGUUUGGAGUAUGAUAUUUGGUCUAUUCACAUGGCAUUGGCCCUGCUUGAUCAACACACAAUUCUUGCUGACUUCUUACAUAUCCUGAUGCACCAGCCACAUGCACCUGCACCUGGUCUUGUUUUCAUAUAUGUUACAGGUCAUAAGACACUCCAUUUUUUAUUUGCCACAUUUCUAUCCAUGUUAAAUUUGUGGUCAUUUCAUUAUUUUUUUCUUGGUUAUGGAGCAAAUUAUGCUUCCGCUAAAUGCAGUUACAGCAGGUCAAAAAACUAA
rnacentral:rRNA from 1 species